AAAAUUAAGCUGUGAACUGGAAUUCCUUCAGGCUGUCUACUAUGAAGCCCUGUGGCUUUAGCAAAGGGGCAGCAAUGGUCAGAAAUGACACUCAAAAGAGUACCACAAGUAAAAACAGGGGUUCCAGUUCAUUGUUGGCACGAGAAGAGUCCAUACCACAGAUUUAAGCCAGGUUACACCUUUUGUGACAUUAAUGCUAGCAGUGGUUUGGACCCUUUCAUUUCUACUUCUAUAGUGAGCCAAAAGCAGGGUGAAAUGAAGAAAUAUUUGUGUUGGCUUCAAAACCAGAUUGAAGAUAAAUUGCUGUUAAAACAUGUCUCGCUGUUGAUACACAUAAUAUGUCAAAUUAAUUAAAAGCUUAUAGUCACAAUGUGUAGGGAUUUCAGUUGUUUUUAAGUGGUAGUUAGUCUUUCAGCAACUAGAGGCUACACACGACCGAGUUAUUCUAGUAGAUCAGUGCUUCCAGAAACGCAUGUUUGAAGUAAUUUACUUCAUGUCAAUCACCUUUCAUGUAUUUUAUCUUGUGUGGAACAAAUGAGAACUGUCCUUUACUCAUUUUAUGAGUGUCCUGUAAAGCAGGGUAUGAAGUGAGCUGAUGACAACUCAUCCAUCUCACUGUAUUUGAAAGGGAUUCUCCUACUGGACAUCAUGCAGAGAAGCAUUUUUUGAAGACCACCCACCUAGUAUCAGUCUCCCUUCAGGAGCAGUUGCAUUUUUCUUAGGCAUUUCUUGAGGGGGUAAACAUGCAUCAUCAAACAGCAGAUUUCUGAAUGGUACAUACUAAUGUGGACUUCACUGAUGCUUCAGCUACUGUUGUCUUAAUAUAGACUGUUGCUCAUAUGUCAACUGGAAACAAAAAUCAAUAAACAAUGAGAAAGGGAGUAAGGGGGAAAUGAAGAAACAAAACAAUGAACAACAAUUUGGUGUCUUCCCUCAUAUGCUUUGUGCAGAUGGUGCAUG